GACGAACGCUGGCGGCGUGCUUAACACAUGCAAGUCGAACGGAAAGGCCCUUCGGGGUACUCGAGUGGCGAACGGGUGAGUAACACGUGGGUGAUCUGCCCUGCACUUUGGGAUAAGCCUGGGAAACUGGGUCUAAUACCGAAUAGGACCGCGCGCUUCAUGGUGUGUGGUGGAAAGCUUUUGCGGUGUGGGAUGGGCCCGCGGCCUAUCAGCUUGUUGGUGGGGUAAUGGCCUACCAAGGCGACGACGGGUAGCCGGCCUGAGAGGGUGACCGGCCACACUGGGACUGAGAUACGGCCCAGACUCCUACGGGAGGCAGCAGUGGGGAAUAUUGCACAAUGGGCGCAAGCCUGAUGCAGCGACGCCGCGUGAGGGAUGACGGCCUUCGGGUUGUAAACCUCUUUCACCAGGGACGAUGCGCAAGUGACGGUACCUGGAGAAGAAGCACCGGCCAACUACGUG
rnacentral:rRNA from 1 species